UACGAAGGGGGCUAGCGUUGCUCGGAAUCACUGGGCGUAAAGGGUGCGUAGGCGGGUCUUUAAGUCAGGGGUGAAAUCCUGGAGCUCAACUCCAGAACUGCCUUUGAUACUGAGGAUCUUGAGUUCGGGAGAGGUGAGUGGAACUGCGAGUGUAGAGGUGAAAUUCGUAGAUAUUCGCAAGAACACCAGUGGCGAAGGCGAGUCUCUGGACGACACCUGACACUGAGGCACGAAAGCUAGGGGAGCAAUCCGG
rnacentral:rRNA from 1 species